GCUAUGGCCAAGUGGUAAGGCAACGGGUUUUGGUUCCGUGAUCGUUGGUUCGAAUCCAGCUAGC
rnacentral:tRNA from 1 species